GCUCAUCCUGCUUUGGUGACACAAGCAUGUAUGCUAACGAGUUUUCUCGCGCUGUUGUUUUACCUAGUGAUGGUGGGGGACGAUACACAAAAGACCUGCUGAAAUAGAUGGCGUCUCAUCGAUAUGAAGGAGUUGAUUUAGAAAAUCGAGACAUCAAUUAUAUCAACGAAAACAUCAAGGUUGUGUUUGAUGAAGUCCUUGGUGAGCCGUGGGGAUCACAUAGCUUUGACUGUGUAUGGAAUGCCAGUUUUACGUGUUAUACAUGCGGCAAAAACUGCUGCUACAGGUUCCUGACAUUACUCUGCGGACUUUGUAUAGCACUGUACUGGGGGUGUGAAUUCGCUGUCAUCACAUUUGAAGUCGUAUGGUGCUGUACGCCAAUAUUCAACAUAUGGAAGCUUAUACUGGGAGUGUUUAAAGAGAUCAACCAAACUAACAUCAGAUGUUGUUUAGUGCCAUUCUGUGAAAGCAUUCGUCUCUUGUUCAGUAACAUACAAUAUCACAGCACAGUCACAUACAUAGAUCUAAGGAGAGUUUGAUCGCAUGACUAAAGGGGCGUGGUAUGUCUUACAUCACAUCCGUAUGGACACAUGAGAGAGCGGACAGACAGAACACUUCUGUUGAUGAACCAGGAUGUCAUACAUUCAGUUAGACACAGUUUGCUUUAUCAUACAUUGAUAAUGUAUC